rnacentral:lncRNA from 13 species
GAAAAGUAUUGGAUUUAAUUAUCAAUCGACAUCAUUAAUCGAACAUAAUGUAAAGCCAAUCGCUUUACAUUUAAACAAUAUAAAAGGCGGAGUCCCUGGAUGAUAUGCCGAUCACGGGGAUAUGAUAAAAGCCGCUCGUAUAGGAAACUGCUGCCGGCGACAAGUCGCCUAUAAGCGGAUGCGACACUACCACCGCGUACACCUGUUCGGCUAUCAAAGAUCUGCAGACACUCAAUGCGGUUCUGAUAGGGUUGGAGUCCAUCUCGAUUACUUGCUCUUUGCUGUCAGCAUUGGAAAGGACACCACCGAUAUUGAAGAACCUUGGAUUGUUAUAAUCUAUCGUUCUGGCGAAAACGGAUCCUAAACGCGGCGCAUUGUGC